GGAGAGAUGGCCGAGCGGUUUAAGGCGCACGUCUGGAACACGUGUUUACUUGAAAGGGUAUCGAGGGUUCGAAUCCCUCUCUCUCCG
rnacentral:tRNA from 1 species